UGUUCUGUCAAUUUUCUACUAUACAGCAAGGUGACCCAAUCACACAUUCACAUCUACAUUUUUUUCUCACAUUAUCCUCCAUCAUGCUCCAUCAUAAGUGACUAGAUAUAGUUCCCAGUGCUAUACAGCAGGCUCUCAUUGCUUAUCCAUUUAGUUUAAAUUGAGAAACUAAAUUACCACUAAUAUAGUAUCAGUUUAUUGUACCUCAAAUUUCCAAAGCAAUAGGUUGCAUCUAUUAACCCCAAAUUCCCAGUCCACCCCAUUCCCUCCCCCUUGGCAACCACAAGUCUAUUCUCCAAAUCCAUGAUUUUCUUUUCUAUGGAAAGGUUCAUUUGUGCCAUAUAUUAGAUUCCAGAUAUAAAUGAUACCAUAUGGUAUUUGUCUUUCUCUUUCUGACUUACUUCACUUAAUAUUACAGUCUCUAGCUCCAUCCACCUUGCUGCAAAUGGCAUUAUUUUGUUCUCUUUUAUGUCUGAGUAAUAUUCCAUUGUGUAUAUAUACUACAUCUUCUUAAUCCAUUCAUCUGUUGAUAUCAAACAAAAGACAGGGGUAGGAGAAUUUUUCCCUAUUUUCCUUCAUCACUUGUUGAGCUGGGUCAUCUUAUCUUCCUCUUUGGGACUGGGAUUUACUGGCUCCCUGGUUCUUAGGCUUUUGGACUUGAACUAAAUUAUGCCACUCGCUUUCCUGGGUCUCCAAGUUGCAGGUGGCAGAUCAUGGGACUUCUUAGCUUUCAUAAUUAUGUGAAACCAAUUCCUCAUAAUAAAUCUCCAUAUAUAUGUACACACACACCUGAUAUACAUAUAGGUAUACAUAUAUACACACACACACAUAUAUCACUAGUUCUCUGGAGAACUUUGCUAUAUGAUACUUAUAUAUCUAUAUAUAGAUACUUAUAAUCUACAUAUGUAUAGCUAUAGAUAUCUGAAAAGAUUAAUUCAAACAAUCCAUUGAAAAUAAUCAUUUGAUUUUGAACUACUAUACAAAAAUGCUUUGCCUUUCUGUCACAGCACUUAGCAUUAACAAGGCGAAGCAAAACACACAGGUGUGCAUGUAUGUCUGUGUCUGUGUGUGUAUUGCUGGUUUCUAUAAAGAUUUAUCUUUUUAGGGGGAGGCGCCCCCAUGGCAUAUGGAAGUUCCCAGGCGAGGGGUUGAAUCUGAAAUGUUCGUGCUUUGUAAAUUUGAAUUACAAUGCACUGAUACUAUAUUAGUGGUAAUUUAGUUUCUCAAUUUAAAAAAUUAUGCAUGUUCUCAUGAAAUAUUAGAUGUUUCUAAAUUAAAAAGUGAAUACAUAUGGGUCAACAACUCAGAAAAAAUUCAAAAGCCCCUAGACCAUAGUAUUUCAUAUAAUGCAUUUUCUUUCUUUUAUAUUUUUUGCUUUUUAGGGCCACACCCAUGGAAUAUGGAAGUUCCCAAGCUAGGGGUCGACUUGGAGCUACAGCUGCUGGCCUAUACCACAGCUUCAGCAAUGCACAAUCCCAAGCUGCAUCUGCAACCUAAACCACAGCUCAUGGGAACACCAGAUCCUUAACCCACUGAGCAAGGCCAGGGAUUGAAUCCCUGUCCUCACAGAUACUAGUCGGGUUUGUUACUGCUGAGCCACAAUGGGAACUCCUUCAUACAGAUGUAAACAUCUUGAAGACAGGUACAGUGUCUUGUACAACUUCAUAUUGACUGUUAUCCCCAACAACCCCCCAAAAAUAUUUAAUUCAAUACCUUAAAAACUGUAGUCCUUUGGUAUAUUUUUGUGAAUGAAUUGAAUUCUGUUAGCCAAUUGAGUUCAUAUAUUUUCGAUAGAAAUUCUCAAACCAAGUCAAAAUCACUUAGGUUUUUUUGUUAUUGCUCUGGUUAAUGACUCUCUAAAUUCUCUACUUUUUUUGACUAGACUUUAGCAUUCGGUUGUGAUCUGCUCAAUGUCAGGCCACAGAAGAGAAAUGCUUUCCCCCCCACUGUUAAUCUCAUUGGCAACUUUAUAACACCCUAAAUGCUUCCUUUUCUCUGACAAUUUUUCAUAUUCCUUGAUGUCGACACCUAGCUCAUCUUGCUCUUCUCCACUUUAUCUGCCACCAUCCCAGCUACUUUAAUUAUCUUCCAAUAACCUCUGAUUGCCUGACUUCUAAACACCUUUUAUUUCUUCAGUCCUACCCAUUCCAGCUAUCUACUGUUAAAACUAUUCGAGUCUUAAAAUUAGUUCCCAUUCCACAGUCCCAAACUCAAAGACUUGCUACAUUGUGUAUUCACAUUCAAGCUGACUCUUAAUACCAGUGCAGAGGUUACAAACUGAAAUUAUGUGGGCUAAAACACAAUUUGCAGUUGUAUUUGAUUUGACCCACAUAAUGUGUAAAAUUUUAUUAUUUGAUAAUAUUUAAAAUCAAGGGAGUUAAUGUAAAAAUGCAGAGGAUUGGCAAUUUUGUUCCAUAUUCUUGUAUUCAUCAAUUAUCUAUAGUAGAAAAGCAACUGUUGUUUUUUCUUUUUAAUUCAGAUGAGACAAGCAAACUUCAGUUUGCAAUUGUCCCAUUUUCCUCAAUACUUAAAACAUACCAUUUUAUUUCUUUACACUAUCACCCAUAAGCAUUUCAGUAUGUAGUUUCUACUUGAAUGUUCUCUGAACUCAUGUCUUAUAAUUUAGCUCUCAUUACUCAGUGCUGAGAUCUUCUAUAUUCUAAUACUCAACCAAAACUUACUUUCACUAACCACUUUCUCAAAACUUACUCCCCAAUAUAGUUGAUGUGAAAAAUUAUGGACUUGUUUUUCCUGAACUGAAAAGAUAGUCAGCUAUCUGCUUUGAGCUUGACUGUCAUUUGGUACAUAACAUUUUGUACUCUGACCAUUUCGUGAAUUAUUCAAAUUGGUUGUAAACUCCUUGAAAAUAGGACCCAAAUUGUUGAUGGCUUUGUAGCUCAAGUACCUAAUGUCAUCUGAGUACGUAAUAUAGUCCAUUCAUUUAGGUAUUCAUUCAAAGCUUUUUUUUGGUGGCUAUUUUAAGAGGCAGACUGUCUGCUUAAGUGAUGUAAGUGAUGUCAUGUGGUAUAUGAAGAUUUGACAGAUUUAUCAACUGUGAAAUAAUUAUUCUUCCUUUUCUUUUAAUUUUCCUUUUGAACUUGCCUUAGGAUGUGUGAAAGCCACCAUUUAUGAAUUGAAAGGAUAGGUAAUAAGAACAAGGUAUCACACUUUUGUUAAGAGGGUCCCAGAUUUAAGGUUUCCUUACCUGUCCUUUAUACAAACAUCUUAGGACAAAUGAGAAACUACAGAGGCUGCAUGUUGUAAUUCCUAGGCACAUCUGAGUGGGAUAAGAAGGAAGAGGCUUCGAAUCUCUGCAGCCUGUAUCCUUCUUUCCAACCAGGGUUUUCAGCCCUAUAAACUGCUAUCGUGUGUACUGCCUUCCACAAAGAUUUAAAAUUCAUCAAACAGACAAAGUGUAUAUUUAAUACUCACAUGAGGGAAUACAGAAUGCCUUUCAAUACAUCAAACUCCUAAACCUUUUACAUCCUUCAUUUUUAAGCUACAUGGAUUUUGAUUUGUACAAUUUUAAAAAUAUUCUGAAGCCUAGUCAAUCUAACAGUAAAAAGCACUGUUGCACAGUAAGAAAUCAAGAAAUACAAUUCAGCAAACCUGGUAUAGUUGGUCCCCAGGGAAGCUUUUUUCCAAUUCGGUUUGUCAUAGCCCAGAUCCAUCAUGUCAUGCUAGCCUAACUUACUACUACUGUCUUUCAUUUUUUUCCCCCUUUUUGGCACACUCCAACUAUUUUCUGUUAAACUAGUGCUGUCACAAGAAAACAUAUAAAAAUGCUCUUUUGCAAACACUCUGUUUGGUUCUAUCCUGUAUCCUGAACUCUCUGGAGCUAUGGAUUUCUCUCACUGUCUUCAUCAGGGGUGAAUGUUGACAGAUCACUGAACCUUACUGGUGGUAGUGACAGGCUUGAUGCUGUUUUGUGCAAGGUGGAGAAAAAACAAAAUUAAAAAAAAAAAAAAAGGUUUUUGUGCCUUGCAUCUAGAAGGUCCCUGAUUCAACAACAAAGGCUUAUGUUCAAAGAUGAUUAGCUUAAAGGCAUUUCAGAGAUUUCUGAUUGUAGUCGUGGUUGGGUGUCUCGCUACUGGGUGAGAUAUGUAUUCCCCUGAGAACAAAGGCAGCAGCAAUCCUCUUCUGCUGAGAUGGCACCUUUAAUAAUUCCAUGUAUUUAUCAGUAUUUGUGUCAAGUUCUUAGGGAUUUUUCCCUUCAGGUAAGGCUGAGAGUAGAUGGAAUGGACUGGGUCUUAAACAGUCCUCUAAGGUUAUCUGCAGAGAAAAAAAUAAUUGCCCCAAGGUAUCUAGGAGAAUGAGAAGAAAAUAAUCUUGUGGGUGAAAAUGUACACAGCACAGAAAAAUACCUCCAAGGCUUCUAAAGGGAAGAGUGAAUAGCCUUUAGUUUAUUCAUAAAGCCUAAGAUAAGCUAUGGCUAAUAAAAUUGUAUGGCACUUUUUUUUUUCCUCAAGUAAAUCUAAAGAAAUAUAUCUUUUUUAAAAGUUAAAUAUAAAAAAUAGGUAAAUUAAUUUUUCCAAAUAAAUCAACAAGCUCUGUAUGUGCUGUUGCCAUGGAUUUCUCCUGCCUAACCAUUCUGUAUAUUGUGUACGUGACUGCAAAGGAGAAAUGGUUGGUCUGCAGUUAGGAGCAGCAUGAUGCACAAGACUUAAUCAAGUGUGCAUACACGUGACUGGUGCUCUCCCUGUGGCCUGUGACCUAUUAUGACAACUUUCGUCAGCAUCCGAAGCAGAUUCAUGUACUGUUGAAUCAUGCAACACACUUUCCCAUGUGGAUUUGCACUGGGUUUAGUUCUUUGGGUUUCUCAUGGAUGCAGACAGCAUUCAAGCACUGUGUGCAGGGGUGUAAGAGUUAUAGAACCAGCAGGGAAUGCCAGAGGCUUGAGGAGAUAAUCUUUCAAAUCAUGACUUUGGUAGUUUCCCAAAGUCUGCUGGUCAGAAAGUUAAUUUGCAGAAAUGGGACAUUAAGCAACUUUCCUUUGGUUCAAGAAGUGGUCUCCAAGAAGCUAUACCUAGGAAUUAGCCUUCCCUGGAGAAGCACACAGAGAAAAAGUCUCUGAUGACUCUUUAAACUAGAUCAGAAGCCCCUGAAAGCCCAUCCUCUUUUCCUCUUUGUUUUGGAAGCAAACUUCCAAUACUACAUUUGGGAUAUCCCUUGUUUUCAGGGUGAAAAGCUGAUGUCCUAAAGUGUGAUUUUAAGUCUAUAGUGAGGACAGGCAGAAGACAAGGGGGAUUCUGAGGAAGAAAGUACUUGUCAAAAGUACGUACAAGGCCAGAUAAUUAGAUUAAGACUGAUCUCUUCCAAUGUCUUUUUGAGCCCAUUUUCCACUGAAGUCAAAGCAGACUUCCCUCUUAACAAAGAACAUAAUUUAUAUUAUUAUAAAAAUUUUAUAUUGACAUUAGAUAAAAGUAAGCUAUAUAAAAUACAUUGCCAACCAAUUACAGAAAUAUGGAGUAGGUUUAUGCCAGUUUAGGUAACAGAAUUGUACAUUUGUUUAGUGUAGUGUUCCAUUCUCAAAAAUACUGGUCAUGUCAUUUCAAUUCUAGAACUUCAGACUCCUGGAAAUUAUACAUUUGCAGUACAGAAUGUGCUCUACACACCUGACUCUCUAUUAAAAGGAACAACAGUUGCAAUACACUAAUGUCUUCCUGCCUAUCUAUGUCCAGUUUACUAAAACCUUUGGCUCCUACAUAGCUAUUGAGAUUCCCCACUUCCCCCUGAUUCUUCUCUCAGAACCAUAGUAAUCUUUCUGUCAGAGAAAAUAAAAGGAAGCAGUAAAUUUACUUCCUUGGAAAUUUGUUACAUGUAUAUACAUAUGUAUGUAGGCACACACAUGUAUACACACACAAAUGUGAACAUGAUUUCACAUCCUAGUUACUCUCAAAGCUGGAAGAACAAUGGGGUCUGGUUAAAAAGAAACUCAAAAGUUUUAGAUGGUUACACUCAUAUUGCCCUCAUUUAUUACAUGGUGUAAAAUGGAUAGAGGAAAACAGAAAUCAGAUCAGCAGUUAUCAGAGCAGAUCAUGGUCUAUUAGAAAGAAAGCUCUGGGUCAGGAUUCAGAAAACCAGGGCUUUAAGCUUUAGCUCCGCCGUUUUUUCUAGGUGUGUGAUGAAGAUGGUCAUUCACUAUGAGACUCAUCAUUACAAUUAUAAUAGCAUCUCUUUUCACAAAGGCCACUGUGCAGUUUAAAUGUUGUAUCCUAUGUGAAACACUUUGUAAAUUCAAAUACACUUGGCAAAUGUAAAUGAGAAAGAUUAAAUCAUAGCACUGAGAUUUUUGUUCAAAAAAGUUAUGGAAUAUUUGAAAAGAUAGUUUUUUCUUUCAUAAUUUUGAGCAUCAUAAAUUUUCAUUUCAAAUUUCGGGAGAUUUUUAACUUUUUGCUAAAGUCAACAUUUAAAAAUAUUGUAUGGAUAUAAAAUUAUUUUAUCUACACUUAAAGGGUAUGUAACGGUUUGAUGUUUCAGCUUUUAUGUAUAACUCAAGUCUUGUUCAAACACACUAAAGAUAGAGUUUUAUUAGGACUGGCAAGAAUGAUACCAGCAUAUAUUCAUGGACUUACUCCAUCUGUAUGGAAUAUGUAGAUCUCACUCUAAAUAAAGCCUUUCAGUGCUCCGAAAUGCUUGUGCUUUGGAAAUUUGAAGCGUAAUAAACUGAUACUAUAUUAGUAGUAAUUUAGUUUCCUAAUUUAAAAAAUUAUGCAUCUUCUCACAAAAUAUUAGAUGUUUCUAAAUUAAAAAGUGAAUGCAUAUGGAUCAACAACAACUCGGAAAAAAUUCAAAAGCCCCUAGACCACAGUAUUUCAUGUAAUGUACUUUCCAUUCUCAUUCCUAAGAUGUUUCUUAUCAAAUCAGUUUGCCACCUGAUCUGGGUAAAAAGGUCAUUUGAAAAUAAGUCUAUUUCCAAAGCACAAAUACAUCAAAU
rnacentral:lncRNA from 1 species